AUGUUUCAUCCAGUGAUCCUUACUUUUCCUAGCAAGUAUGUUUUAUGGGUGAUCUAACAGAGAUGGUUUCAUAUUUUUCUCUAACAUAUUCUAUUACUUAUGCAAAAACUAAAAUCUUUGACUAGAUUUCAAAGAUAAAUCUAAAAUAGUGUGUAAAACAUCUAAACUAGGGUUACAAUUUUUUUCCUAGCACAAGCUUAGUGUUACAAAGCUAAUAGAUGUGGUUUUGUUAUUUUACCAUUUUUUGGUGAUUUACCAAGCAUUUAAAGGCUUAAACACCAAAUAAAAUCUAGUGCUAAACACAGAUCAUAAACAUGCAUAUGAGUAUUUUUAAAUGAAGCUACACAUCACUAGGAACCUAGAAAAAUAAUAAUCACAUUUUUCCCAUUUUUCUAUAUUUACUUAUGUAUUUUCAAAGUUUCAGCCUUUUUAGAUCUAGGAAAUAAAGAAAACCGGGAUCAACUUGCAAACUAGCCCCCAGAUCUAAGGUUUAAUCGCGCAAAGGUCCUUGGAUUUCUCCUAUACCCCCUACACUUCUCCUUCUUCUUCUUCUUUAC
rnacentral:lncRNA from 1 species